UCCAAACCCUAAACCUAAUCUCUCUCCCAAACGGCGCCCUCACCUUCCCAGCCCACUGUCGUCUCUCCAACUCGCCGGAAUGGGCGAGUCCGCUCACCCGAGUCCCAUGGUCCUCCCCUCUCAUCUUCUCCUUCCUCCACGUACCAAUAUAACAAACUCAGAAUAUUCUCUAAUGAUUUCACCCAAAUCGAAUCCGCCUUCUCCCUCACGCGCUUUGAUUUUCUUGAACAAAUCUCGGAUAAAUGGGAGCGAUUGGAUGUGAGUGAAAGCCGAUCCACGCCUUCCAUUUUUUUUUUUUUUUUGCUUUAUGAAAUUUUCGGGAGUUUUCAGUUUUUUGAAGUUAUUUUGGGAGAUUUCUUGCAGGAGAAGAAUAGAACCUUCGAGAGUUCAUAAAAAUACUCCCAUUUGGAGGAUUUUCAGCCAGCCGAAGGGUUGAAAAAAAAAUUAGGGUUCUAAGAGUGAGUUCUUCUUCUCAUUUGGUCCAUCUUCAAUUAAGUUUAAGUUCCACAAAAGCAAAAAUACAAAAAAAAACUAGGGUUUUAGGUUCUCCUUUAAUCUUCUUCUGAUUUUCGAUAUAGCUGAUUCACAUAUAUUAAAAAAAAUGAGUUCUGUUUUCAUUUGAUAAGUGAAAAAAUACAAAAGAUUCUGGGUUCUUCUUUUACACAUUUUGGUUCAAGAAUGAAAUGGAUGUUAGUUGAGGUUUGAAGCCGAUUUGGGUUGCCGUCCGUUGUUCGAAACUCGUGGUUCCUGUUCGAUCUAGCCGUUGUAUUCUCGAGUGGCCUUUUGAAUUUGAAGCUUUGUAGCUGAUUGCUUUGAUUCUCUAUUAUUAAGAAGAAAUUUGCACUCAGGCCAUCAUAAAGUUUAGAGCUGAGCUGAGCCAAUGUGAGGCCGAGCUCAGGAAAGUUUCGGGCGAAGAAAAGGCCCUGAGGCUCCUCUGUAGCCCAAAAGGAAGAGGAGAUUAAGGAUCUCCGGACCGCAUUGGCCAAAGUUCAAAAAAGCGAGUACAAGCUAGAUGAGCAAGUAACUGUGAUUUUAACAGAGUACGGCCUUCUUGGCCCUACUUUAGAGGCUAACACUUCGAUAUAUCUGCUGCAGCAAAAGCUAGAGAUGAUUGGGCAGCUCCGGGGCGAGGUUGAUCAAGUUAAAGUUGAUUGUCAUCAGUGGAAGAAGAACAUGGAUCAACUUGCUGCCGAUAAGGAAACUGUUACAGCCCAACUGGCCUCGGUUGAACUCAACUCCGAGACAUUAAAGAGAAGGGUCUGGCUCAGGCCAAUAAGAUCGAGGAGUUAGAGGCUGAGGUCGCUAGAGCCCGGGUCGAAGUUGUACAGGCUAAGGCUGAAGCUGAGAAGACGAAGGCUGCGGUUGAUAAAUCCAUUGCCAUAUACUUAAGGGACGUCGUGGCCGUUCAAGAUGAGUUGAGGGAGGCCUCCGACUGUGGAAAAUGGAGCAAUGAUUUGGCUAAGUUCCAAGCGCGAAGGGAGAUUCUUGAAGAAAUCCAUGCCCGAGGGUUCAACCUUGCCGAGGAGAUAGCCGAGGCAAAGGCGUGGGAAAUCGAUAUCAGGUUUCUUGGCUCCUCCGAUGAUGAGGAUGUAGCGAGUGGCUCCGGGGACGAGGAAGGUGAAGAAGAUGUUCCCGAGGGAGAUGAAACUCCCAAAGAUAGAGCUGUUGAAGAUGCAGUUUCCGAAGAUGACGUUCCCGGGGGUGUGACCCCGAAAAUAGAUUAGGUUUUCUUUUUUGUGAAAGUUCCCCUUGUGGGCAUUGUAAAUAUGUUUUGUAAACUUCCCUUGUGAAUAUAAAUUAUCUUUUUGUUCUA